rnacentral:rRNA from 1 species
AACGAACGCUGGCGGCGUGCCUAACACAUGCAAGUCGAACGAGAAAGGGGCUUCGGCCCUGAGUAAAGUGGCGCACGGGUGAGUAACACGUGGGUAACCUGCCUCUAAGACUGGGAUAACCUGUCGAAAGAUGAGCUAAUACCGGAUAAGACCACAGUUCCUGCGGGAAUCGAGGUCAAAGGUAGCCUCUGCAUGCAAGCUAUCACUUAGAGAUGGGCCUGCGCACCAUUAGCUAGUUGGUAGGGUAACGGCCUACCAAGGCAAAGAUGGUUAGCUGGUCUGAGAGGAUGAUCAGCCACACUGGAACUGAGACACGGUCCAGACUCCUACGGGAGGCUG